rnacentral:tmRNA from 1 species
GGGGAUGAUCGGUUUCGACGGAGGUGGCUGGCACAGAACUGCAAGCCGAGAGGCGCCGAACUCGCAAAAUCAGCGCACAUAAAAAUAAGUGCCAAACGCACUGACUUAGCAGCUCUUCCCCUUGCGGCCUAAAUCCGCUAAGAGAGGAGCUCGGUCCUAAUCAAAAGGACCCGUCUCCCCACAGCUUCCUUGGCCGGUGUGGGGUAAGGCGACAAAGUGUCAAGGUGCCGCGCAGUAGGCCACGCGAUGCGCGAAAGAGGAGCUUUCGGGCUCCAGUGGAUGGCUGUCAGGAUAAGCCCGUCGACUGGCAACUUGACGGUGAGAAACCAAUAGGUCGACUAUGCUUGUAGAAGCUCUGUGACCGAAACCUACGGACGCGGGUUCGAUUCCCGCCAUCUCCACCU